GGUCGCGUGGCCCAAUGGCAAGGCGCUUGACUACGAUUUCCUCUGAUAUCAAGAGAUUGCAGGUUCGAUCCCUGCCGCGAUCA
rfam:Tuber melanosporum whole genome shotgun sequence assembly, scaffold_96, strain Mel28